rnacentral:rRNA from 1 species
UACGUAGGGUGCGAGCGUUAAUCGGAAUUAUUGGGCGUAAAGAGCUCGUAGGCGGUCUGUCGCGUCGGCUGUGAAAACCCGGAGCUCAACUCCGGGCCUGCAGUCGAUACGGGCAGACUGGAGUUCGGCAGGGGAGACUGGAAUUCCUGGUGUAGCGGUGAAAUGCGCAGAUAUCAGGAGGAACACCGGUGGCGAAGGCGGGUCUCUGGGCCGAUACUGACGCUGAGGAGCGAAAGCGUGGGGAGCGAACAGG